rnacentral:rRNA from 1 species
AGUGAGCGCUGGCGGUAGGCCUAACACAUGCAAGUCGAACGGCAGCACAGUAAGAGCUUGCUCUUACGGGUGGCGAGUGGCGGACGGGUGAGGAAUACAUCGGAAUCUACUUUUUCGUGGGGGAUAACGUAGGGAAACUUACGCUAAUACCGCAUACGACCUACGGGUGAAAGCAGGGGAUCUUCGGACCUUGCGCGAUUGAAUGAGCCGAUGUCGGAUUAGCUAGUUGGCGGGGUAAAGGCCUACCAAGGCGACGAUCCGUAGCUGGUCUGAGAGGAUGAUCAGCCACACUGGAACUGAGACACGGUCCAGACUCCUACGGGAGGCAGCAGUGGGGAAUAUUGGACAAUGGGCGCAAGCCUGAUCCAGCCAUACCGCGUGGGUGAAGAAGGCCUUCGGGUUGUAAAGCCCUUUUGUUGGGAAAGAAAAGCAGCAGGUUAAUACCCCGCUGUUCUGACGGUACCCAAAGAAUAAGCACCGGCUAACUUCGUG